ensembl:snRNA U2 U2 spliceosomal RNA
AUCGCUUCUCGGCCUUUUGGCUAAGAUCAAGUGUAGUAUCUGUUCUUAUCAGUUUAAUAUCUGAUACGUCCCCAUCGGGGGACUAUACAUAUUAAAUGGAUUUUUCGAACAGGGAGUCGGAAGCGGGGCUUGCUCCGUCCGCUCCACGCAUCGACUCGGUAUUGCAGUACCUCCGAGAACGGUGCACCCUCU